rnacentral:tRNA from 1 species
GGGGUUGGGGCUCAGCGGUAGAGCACUCGCCUAGCAUGUGUGAGGCCCUGGGUUCGAUCCUCAGCACCACA